AGCCAUGCAUGUCUAAGUAUAAGCGAUUUUAUGGUGAAACUGCGAAUGGCUCAUUAAAUCAGUUAAAACAUGCAUGAUAGUGUACCACAUGGAUAACCAGGGUAAUUCUAUGGCUAAUACAUGAGAAAAGCCCCGAUCUUACGAGAGGGGCGUGUUUAUUAGAUAAAAAAUCAAUGCCUUCGGGCCUUUUGGUGAGUCAUAAUAACCUUUCGAAGCUCAUGGCCUUGCGCCGGAGCUGGUUCAUUUCGAUUUCUGCCCUAUCAACUUUCGAUGGUAGGGUAUUGGCCUACCAUGGUGAUAACGGGUAACGGGGAAUUAGGGUUCGAUUCCGGAGAGGCAGCCUGAGAGACGGCUACCACGUCCAAGGACGGCAGCAGGCGCGAAAAUUACCCAAUGCAGUAGCUGUGAGGUAGUGACAAUAUAUAACGAUACGGGGCCCAUUCGGGUCUCGUAAUUGGAAUGAGUACAAUGCAAAUACCUUAACGAGGAACAAAUGGAGGGCAAGUCUGGUGCCAGCAGCCGCGGUAAUUCCAGCUCCAUUAGCGUAUAUUAAAAUUGUUGCAGUUAAAAAGCUCGUAGUUGAAAGUGGGGUUGGGCUGUGUGGUCCGCCUUUGGCGAGUACUCCAUGGCCCCACCCUCCGGGCCAGUCUCUGACUGGUCCUAUUACUUUGAGAAAAUUAGAGUGUUCAAAGCAGGCAAGUGCCGGAAUAUAUUAGCAUGGAAUAAUAGAAUAGGACGUCAUGGUUCUAUUUUGUUGGUUUCUAGGACCAUCGUAAUGAUUAAGAGGGACGGCCGGGGGCAUCAGUAUUGGGGGGUCAGAGGUGAAAUUCUUGGAUUCCCCCAAGACUAACUACUGCGAAAGCAUUUGCCAAGAACGUUUUCAUUAAUCAAGAACGAAAGUUAGGGGAUCGAAGAUGAUCAGAUACCGUCGUAGUCUUAACCAUAAACGAUGCCGACUUGGGAUCGGGGGAAGUUUCUUAUCUUUAGACGCUCCCGGCACCAUAUCGCCAAAGCAAAGCUGGUUCUGGGGGGAGUACGACCGCAAGCUUGAAACUUAAAGGAAUUGACGGAAAGGCACCACCAGGAGUGGAGCCUGCGGCUUAAUUUGACUCAACACGGGGAAACUCACCAGGUCCAGAAAUACUGAGGAUUGACAGAUUGAGAGCUCUUUCUUGAUCGUAUCUAUAGUGGUGCAUGGCCGUUCUUAGUUCGUGGAAUGAUUUGUCUGCUUAAUUGCGAUAACGGACGAGACCUUAACGUGGUAAAUGGGGGGACUAGCGGUCUGCUGGCUGCCUCCUCUUACCCGGACAGUCGGCUUUAAGUCGACGGAAGUUUGAGGCAAUAACAGGUCUGUGAUGCCCUUAGACGUUCUGGGCCGCACGCGCGCUACACUGACGGAGCCAGCGAGUAUAACCUAGGCCGAGAGGCACGGGUAAUCUUGAGAAACUCCGUCGUGCUGGGGAUAGAGCAUUGGAAUUGUUGCUCUUGAACGAGGAAUUCCUAGUAAGCGCGAGUCAUCAGCUUGCGUUGAUUACGUCCCUGCCUUUUGUACACACCGCCCGUCGCUAGUACCGAUUGAAUGGCUUAGUGAGGUUUUAGGAUUGGGGCAGUUGGGGGGUGACCCUUGGCUGCUGCGAGAAUUUCAACAAACUUGGUCAUUUAGAGGAACUAAAA
rnacentral:rRNA from 1 species